rnacentral:rRNA from 1 species
AUCACAUAUCAAGAGAGCCUUCGGCGCACAGGGAACGUGCGUCCGUCGACUCGUUUUGACCGCGUCGGCAUCACGGACAGUACGUUGAGUGCUGAAGCCACGCGCCAGCGGCCUCACGUGAGGAAGACGGUGGCGAACUGAACUGUUGUGCCAAAACUUCGCAGAGACGGAAACGAGGCAUUGUACUACUGCAGCACGACGAGCGCGCGCCUCCGAAGAGAACCGCCGCAGGAUGGAGUCGGACACCUGCAGGGAAAGUGCGGUCUGAGCGCGAGGCGCGAACGUCUGUUGCAACAGCAGUAGCGCGCACGUUUGCGAGAGAGUCGGAAGCGCCCGCUUGCGUGCACGGACAACGCGGGAAGCAAACGCCGGCCGAUUCCCGCGCCGUGCGCGAAGCAAGCGAGCGCGAUCGCACGUUGCGUUGUUUGCCUUCGGAGUACGUCGAGCUCUAGCAGAAGGUCGCUCGUCCGCGUCACCGCACGGGUGCAGGCGCCCUAGUCCGGGUUUCGUCGCAGGAAUAAGAGUCGGAAAAGAUUCUUGCGCGGAGCGGGGAGGACAAGGGUGCGCCCCGGAGCGGUAGUGACGCGGUUACGCGAGUGCGCCGUCUGCGAGAAGCGAAGAAAACGGCACGACUGAAUAGUCGGCGAAGCGGAAAAUGUCUCCCUCGAGAGCGUGAGUUUGCCCGUUGGCGGAGCUGAAGCGUUCCGUCGUAGUCCGCCGUCGGUCCAAGUGCUUCGCAGUCUCUGCCCUUAAAAAGACUGGGCCACUCCAGUUGGGGGCAGGGGCGACGCUACACUAGACGAUGCCCUCUGCCAGGCUAGAGUCGUCCUGUGGCGCCCGCUGAAGCGCGCUGCGAGGGUGGCAUGCCUCGGCGGUGUUUGGGCUUCAGACACGGUCGUUUGCCACGCAACUGCUCGUGCGACGCACGCGCUAAGGCGGUUCAAGAAACCACCUGCCAGCCUCGUCUAUAAGUAGCUCCGUGUUGGGCGAAGGACGUGGUAGGGCGUCGUACUCGGUUUGCGCUGGGCUUUCGAACGUGUCGAGUCCUUUCAGCACGCUGGAAGGGGCGAAAGCGAUGUAUCCGUUG